GUCUCGAUAGCUAAGUGGUAUAGCAUGCGAUUGCAGACAAGUUUAUCGCAGGGUCCGGUGUUCAAUCCACCGUCGGGACU